CAGUGGGGAAUAUUGCACAAUGGGGGAAACCCUGAUGCAGUCCAUGCCGCGUGUGUGAAGAAGGCCUUCGGGUUGUAAAGCACUUUCAGUAGGGAGGAAGGUAGUGUAGUUAACACCUUGCAUUAUUUGACGUUACCUACAGAAGAAGCACCGGCUAACUCCGUGCCAGCAGCCGCGGUAAUACGGAGGGUGCGAGCGUUAAUCGGAAUUACUGGGCGUAAAGCGCAUGCAGGCGGCCUGUUAAGUCAGAUGUGAAAGCCCGGGGCUUAACCUCGGAAUUGCAUUUGAAACUGGCAGGCUAGAGUCUUGUAGAGGGGGUAGAAUUUCAGGUGUAGCGGUGAAAAUGCGUAGAGAUCUGAAGGAAUACCAGUGGCGAAGGCGGCCCCCUGGACAAAGACUGACGCUCAGAUGCGAAAGCGUGGGGAGCAAACAGGAUUAGAUACCCUGGUAG
rnacentral:rRNA from 1 species